AAUACACUGAGACAGCAUGGUUUGCAGCAGAGAAAGAGUUUAAUGUUUGCAGAGCAGCCAAGUAGAGAGACGAGGGGAAUCCUCAAAUCCAUAUCCUCCGGGGAGUUCUGGACUGGGGUUUUUAAGGAGAUUGUGGAGGGCAAGGGGCUGGAAAAUUGAGGCUGUUGAUUCAUUGUGGCAAGGGAAUGAGAUCAUCAGGAUGUGGAAACUUCAUUCGUUGAGUCCAGAAUUCUCUUUUCUCAACACUAGAUGGCAGUAGAGUUAAAGAAAAAAAAUCCCAGCAGUUCUUUGUACAGGGAUUUGGUGAUUUUUCCCAUAAAGCUGCGAUGAGGAUGAACUCAGAGCAAAAUCUAUGUGUUCUUUCAGCCAGGACCAGGGCCUUCCUGCUCCAGCGAAGCUCAUCCACCUGUGGGUCAAGCAACUCCAUCUGUCCUCAGGACGCUUUUUGAACACUGGCUCACUUUAGAGCCAUAAAUGCCUAGAUUCAUGAAUACAAGACAAGCAGCCCCAAGAGAAAAAUCAGUGAAGGAUAUGAAGAACAGUGCAUGGGAGAGCAAGCCUCAAUGAUCAAGAUGAGAAGAUGCUCAAAAGGGAAAUGCGGUCCACAAAAGCAAAGAGAUGACCCUCCCUAUCUGCCACACUGGCCAAAAAUAAAGAGGUCGAAAUAUUUGUAGCAUUAUAUCUAGAGCAAAACGUGAUAUAAAGUGAAAAGGGGUAUGAAUGGUCAGUCGUUGAUUUAAAAUUUGACACAUCCAUAUCCUAUAUGUUUAUGCUGCGAUCAGAAAAGUAUGAAUUUGAGCUGGUUAACGUGGAAAGAUUCCCACAAUAUAUUGCAUAAAUAAUGUCUAAUGUAAUCCUAUUUUUGUAUCAAAAAAUCGAGGUGGGUGUGAAUUCGUGCUUAUUCACUUCUGAAGCCGGAAUAUCUGGGUUUGGUCCUGUACAUAGCUCUUAUUGGCUGUGGGACUUUGGGAACUUAAUGUAACCUCUCUGUGUUGCUGAUCUUUAUACUUGUAUAUUAAAUGGGGGACAAUAGCAAUGUCUACUUUAGGGUUGAUAUGAGGAUUAACUCAGCUAUUGUAUGCAGAGACUUACAAUGGUGCCCGGAAUAUAAUGUGCUCAAUAAGUGUGGCUGUUACGAUAGUUUGUGUAAUUGCAGUAAUGUCUAUAAUUGCAUAUGAUUUAUGGGAAUGGAGAAAAAUACCAAAGGGUGCAGCAUUGGUUGUUAGCAUGAGUUACUUCGUGUCAAGUGGAGGAGGGAAGUGCUUGAAUAGGGAUCAAGGUGGGGGAGAAAAGGAUGAAGGGUAACAGGGAUAAAAUAUACGUGGGGUAAAAAAGAACCUUUAACCAUAGCAUGCUGGCCUCUGCAAUAGAUAACCUGUAAGGAAAAGACAAGGAUGGAGAGGGAACCAAUGAUAUAGAUAAAAGAAGACCUUUCAAAUUAAAAAGAAAUGGGCAAGACCAAGCGGUAGUGUCUAAGGAUUCAUACGUGAGCGAUAAGGUGUCAAAGAAACACACAAAAAGAUAAAAGUCCCGGGCUGGGCAUGGUGGCUCACGCCUGUAAUCCUAGCACUUUGGGAGGCUGAGGCAGGCCGAUCAACUGAGGUCGGGAGUUCGAGACUAGCCUGAUCAACAUGGAGAAACCCCAUCUCUACUAAGAAGACAAAAUUAGCCAGUCGUGGUGGUGGUGGUGCAUGCCUGUAAUCCCAGCUACUUGGGAGGCUGAGGUGGGAGAAUCGCUUGAGCCCUGGAGGCAGAGGUUGCAGUGAGCUGAGAUCAUGCCAUUGCACUCCAGUCUGGGCAACAAGAGCAAAACUCCAUCUCAAAACACAACAAAACAAAAGUCCCAGUAGUGAUAAUUUUUUGAAGGAGAGAGGGAUAGUGUCUGGGAUGGGGCAUAAAACACGGAUAUCUGGGGUGGCUGCACAAUUUUGUUUCUUGAUCUGCAUUGGUAGUUAUAAUAAUUCUUCAAGAUUUCCAUUUUUGGUAUAGUUUUUUGCAUUUGUAGUAUGUUUUAGUGUACAAUAAAAGGCUAAAACAUCCUAGUAAAUAUAAUCUCUGUGCAUUUAUGAAAAGUUAUAUGUUUAUAAGAACAGAUACACAAGUCAAAACAGCAACUAGCUAGUGAGUAUAUAAAAUCGCCCCUAGAAGCUAAAGAGAAUGUUCCAAUAUGAGGUUGAGGGCUAUCCGUCUCCAAAUCUAUGGGACCUGAAGGCGCUGGGCUAGGCAGGUUUCCUACCUAACUUUGUCCAGACAGCUGAAGGCAGGAAGGAUUAGUUUUGAUCAUGCCUGCUGGGUGUAUGAGUCACAUUCUACCUGGUAAUUAUUUUUGACAUUUGACAGUUCUAGGCACAACCUUUUGCAGCUCUGAAAUCUUGGCAGGCCAUUUAUUUUUGAAGCUUCAUGUUUUCCUUUUCACAGGAUAUACCUAUUUGGGUACCUUGUUCAAAUUAAGGUAGAGAUUUUUGAAGAGUCACAAGCCGGGAGGAAAACGUAGAGUUUCAGGAAAGAACUCAUCACUUAGCAACAACAACAACAACAACAACGACAACAACAACAACAAAAGUGUGACCUUUACUUGAAAAAUACCAGCCCCUGGCCACAGAACUAGGCUUACAAUUUUUCAGAGCAGGCACCAGGUGAAUCUUUGUUCCCAAAUAUUUUCCCUACCUGCCUGUACCACAAUGCUGAAAUUCUAUUCUUAGACAGAUAACUCGUUUGACUGGUGAGUUUAAAAAUGCAAAUUUCCCAAGAAGAAGUAGCCCAGUUAAGACUGUUAUGAGACAGUCAUACUAUGGUGAAAAGAAUGCAUAAAGAAAGGAUCCUGAAUUAAAGAGAAAAGCAAAGGACAAUUGUAAAGGACACAGAAUUGCUGGGAAGAAAAAUGCCUAGAGCUUUCCCAAAUCAGGCAGUAAAAAGGCACUGAGCAUCUGCGAGACACGUAUGAGGAUUUUUUCAAUCAGCUUCUUUUGGUUUAAAUUGACAGAAACCCCAACUCAACUAAGCUUAGGAAAAAAAAGGGUAAUCUAUUGGCUCAUAUAAUUUAAAAGUACGACUUUUAAAUUAGAUGGAGCUUCAGGCAUGGCUUGAUCCAGGUAUCAAGCAAUACUUUCAAAACUUUGUCUUCUCUGUUUUCCUGCUUUCAGCAGGCCCUCUGCUCCUGUCUUCUCCCAAAUAUAGUAUAAGUUUUUUUCUUUACCCUGAUCACUAAAGUAAAAAUUGUGGGAUAAGCUGUGAUUGGCCAUGCGCUCGUCCCUGAGUCAGUCGAGGUGGCUUCCAGAUACAAGGCUCUGGUGGGCCAUGUGGGAUUUAUUGGCUUUGUCCUGGAACCAGAGGUGGGUCAGCUUCACUGACACACUUGCACCAAGGAAAUGGGCGUGGUGUUGCCAGAAAAGAGGGACGUGGGUAUUGGAGCUUCACAUAGCACAUGUCCCGCCCAGCAGCCUCUGCGAGUUCCAACCCAGAGUGGCUGUGAAAUCAAGUUGCUGGAUCACAGCCAGCAUCAAAAGAUUAUUCUAGAAGAGAAUUUAAUAGAAGAUACCUGAGUGUGUCACAUUCAGUAAAAGUCAGUUUUGUGAAACCUUUGUUUGAGUUAUACAGGUGCAUAUGUAUCUACAAAUGUAAAUAUGUGUGCAUAUUUAUAUACAUGUAUGUAUAAAUGUGUGGAUAAAUAUGAAUUGUUGACCAUGGUUUAUGGAAAAAAAGGUGUAAACAUGUGUAAAUAUGUGCAAAUAUGUGCAUAUUUAUAUACAUACAUAUUUGGACUUAUAGGUGUAAAUAUGUGUGCAUAUUUAUAUACAUGUAUGUGUAAAUGUGUGGAUAAGUAUGAAAUUUUGAGUUAUAUGCAGUUAAAUAAAAUAUAUAAUC